GUGAAAGGGGGUGAAGAGAUACUGUAUUUAUCCCACAUUAUAGGUUAGGUGGUAAAUCUUUUAGGAACUUCUUGAUUAUUUUGUGCUAAUAAUGAGCUGUGUUUACAUUCAGCCGGGCAACCAAGUGAGCCAAUAUCCUCUGGAUUGUACAGAGAGAUAAGGAACAAGGACAAAGGAAUUGUCUCCAAGUAUUUGAAGUACAGUUAUGAAGAACAGGUUAUCAGAUGAAGGACACAAUGGCACUAAGAUUUGGGUUUACUAUAGUUCAAAGUUUUUAUAAAACAUCUACUUUUGGACUAGGCAUAAUGCCAGGUGCUGUGGGAGGUACAAAACUAAGAUGACACCUGUUCUUAAACUGAAAGUGUUUGGAUGAUCAGUUUUAAAGCAAAGCCAAAUGUGAGUUCAGAAGAGCAAAAUGUCAAAGUAGCUCAAAGAAAUGAGAGAGUUUUGGGUAAAUGGAGACUUGGCUGACAGUGAGCAGAGUGAUGGAAAUAAGCCACUGACAACUUCUAAGCAAGGAAGAGAUGUGGUAGGAUUGUGCAGUAUGAGUGUACAGCCCUCAGUGGGAACAGUGAAUAAGGGAGUCAUACAGAGGUAAGAGUUCUUUGGGUCAAUGAACCCCAAGGGAUCUAGGCUUUGGCUACUAAGGGAUGAUCAGUGACCCCUGAAACCAGUUGCAGAAUAUGGCAUGUACAUCUGUAUGUCUUACCAAAUUAUUUCCAAGUAUCCAUGAUACAGUAAGAGUAUGUAGUAAGCUAGAGGAAUAGUCUAGGUGAAGAAGGCUUUUGGCUGGUAAGGAGGUUGGGGAUGGAAAGGGAAAGAAUUCAAGGGGGAUUUCAGAAGUGCUAAAGAAAUUUUGCAAGUUACUGGCCACAGUUAAAGGAUAAAGAGAGGAUAAGAAACUAUUUCAUAACCACCUUAGAUUUUUCCUAGAUCACUACUCUGUACGCUCCUGGAAAGCAGAGACGACAUCUAGCUUGCUAAAUAUUACAUUCCCAGAACCCACAGGGCACGAAUUUCAGUUUCUCGCAGAUCACCCAGCUGGAGGAAAUAGUUGGAAAUGUCAGUGUGUUAUAGAGAAGAAAGGCCAGAGGUAGCAGUACAGUUUGGAAGUCAUCUUUUUAAGAAGGAGAAGUGAGGUAGGAACCUUGGGGAAAUAGUGGUCCACAAAUGCAGGAGAUCUUUGAGUUUAUGGCGUCAGUGUAGGAGAAUUUCU
ensembl:lncRNA